rnacentral:rRNA from 1 species
GAUGAACGCUGGCGGCGUGCUUAAUACAUGCAAGUCGAGCGAACGGACGAGAAUCUUGUUUCUCUGAUGUUAGCGGCGGACGGGUGAGUAACACGUGGAUAACCUACUUAUAUGACUGGGAUAACUUCGGGAAACCGGAGCUAACACCGGAUAAUAUUUUGAACCGUAUGGUUCAAUAGUGAAAGACGGUCUUGCUGUCACUUAUAGAUGGAUCCGCGCUGCUUUAGCUAGUUGGUAAGGUAACGGCUUACCAAGGCAACGAUGCAUAGCCGACCUGAGGGGGUGAUCGGCCACACUGGAACUGAAACGCGGUCCAGACUCCUACGGGAGGCAGCAGAAGGGUAUGGGACGCAGUGGGCGGGAGCAUGGCGGAACAACGCCAAGUCAGUUGUAGAAGUCUUGGGAUCGGGAAACUCUGUUAUUGGGGAAGAACAUAUGUGUAAGUAACUGUGGACAGCUUGACGGUACCUAAUCAGAAAGCAACGGCUAACUACGUG